rnacentral:rRNA from 1 species
AUCGCCCUACGGGACGCAGCAGUGAGGAAUAUUGGUCAAUGGGCGAGAGCCUGAACCAGCCAAGUCGCGUGAAGGAUAACGGCCCUACGGGUUGUAAACUUCUUUUGUCAGGGAGCAAUUGGGUCCACGCGUGGGCUUAGCGAGAGUACCUGAAGAAAAAGCAUCGGCUAACUCCGUGCCAGCAGCCGCGGUAAUACGGAGGAUGCGAGCGUUAUCCGGAUUUAUUGGGUUUAAAGGGUGCGCAGGCGGCCUGUUAAGUCAGCGGUAAAAGCCCGGGGCUCAACCCCGGCGAGCCGGUGAAACUG